rnacentral:lncRNA from 1 species
UUGGUACAGAAUAUGAGCAUGUUAGGAUAAGUUUUGAUUCAUAAAAGCCCAUGUGAGAUAUUUGAGCCAUGUCCCUUUUUCUUGGAGUGAUAAUUGAAAAAUAUAUUCUUAAUUUCUUGGCGAUAUUAAGUUUGAUGGACUAGAGAAUGCUAGAAUUCGCUCUUGUGCUUGUUGAGACUUUUGUCAAUACAUGGCCCUGAUUCUGGAAGGGAUAGAGGCAACCUAGGAAUUACCACCAUUGCCAAAUAAGCAUGUGUCCCUAUUUGUGCCCGUCGUGGGACUCCCUUAGAUAAACCCCUUUGAGCUUACAUUAAGCCUUUUCUUUCAUCACCCUUAAAUCCUUAACCCUGAACCUUAGUAUAGCUACACUCCUACCCUUUGUUCUAAAAACUUAGCGGAGCUAUAUUUUGGGACUUUACUUGAGGAUUUGGCAUUGAG